GACGAACGCUGGCGGCGUGCCUAAUACAUGCAAGUCGAGCGAGACUCUUCGGAGUCUAGCGGCGGACGGUGAGUAACACGUGGGCAACCUGCCUGUAAGACUGGGAUAACACCGGGAAACCGGUGCUAAUACCGGAUAAUCCUUUUCCUCUCAUGAGGAAAAGCUGAAAGUCGGUUUCGGCUGACACUUACAGAUGGGCCCGCGGCGCAUUAGCUAGUUGGUGAGGUAACGGCUCACCAAGGCGACGAUGCGUAGCCGACCUGAGAGGGUGAUCGGCCACACUGGGACUGAGACACGGCCCAGACUCCUACGGGAGGCAGCAGUAGGGAAUCUUCCACAAUGGACGAAAGUCUGAUGGAGCAACGCCGCGUGAGCGAUGAAGGCCUUCGGGUCGUAAAGCUCUGUUGUUAGGGAAGAACAAGUACCGGAGUAACUGCCGGUACCUUGACGGUACCUAACCAGAAAGCCACGGCUAACUACGUGCCAGCCGCCGCCGUAAGAC
rnacentral:rRNA from 1 species